UCUUCGGCAAUGGACGAAAGUCUGACCGAGCAACGCCGCGUGAGUGAAGAAGGUUUUCGGAUCGUAAAACUCUGUUGUUAGAGAAGAACGUUGCAUAGAGUGGAAAAUUAUGCAAGUGACGGUAUCUAACCAGAAAGGGACGGCUAACUACGUGCCAGCAGCCGCGGUAAUACGUAGGUCCCGAGCGUUGUCCGGAUUUAUUGGGCGUAAAGCGAGCGCAGGUGGUUUAAUAAGUCUGAUGUAAAAGGCAGUGGCUCAACCAUUGUGUGCAUUGGAAACUGUUAGACCUGAGUGCAGUAGAGGAGAGUGGAAUUCCAUGUGUAGCGGUGAAAUGCGUAGAUAUAUGGAGGAACACCGGUGGCGAAAGCGGCUCUCUGGACUGUCACUGACACUGAGGCUCGAA
rnacentral:rRNA from 1 species